GCCGGGUUAGCUCCAAUGGCAGAGCGCCUGCCUUGUAAGCAGGAUGUUGUCGGUUCGAGUCCGACACCCGGCU
rnacentral:tRNA from 1 species